rnacentral:rRNA from 1 species
AGCGAACGCUGGCGGCAUGCCUAACACAUGCAAGUCGAACGGAAACUUCGGGCUUAGUGCCGGACGGGGGAGUAACACGUGGGAACGUGCCCUUUGGUUCGGAGCCACUCAGGGAAACUUGAGCUAAUACCGGCUGUGCCCGUAGGGGGAAAGAUUUAUCGCCAGUGGAGCGGGCCGCGUCUGAUUAGCUAGUUGGUGUGGUAAGGGCUCACAAAGGGGACGAUCAGUAGCUGGUCUGAGAGGAUGAUCAGCGACAUGUCGACUGGGACAAGGCAGCGGCCCAAACUCCUGCGGGAUGGAGCAGAGGGUAAUCUUGCGAAACGGGCGAAAGGCAGAAGCAGCCAUGCCGCGUAAAUGCUGAAGGUCGGAGCAUUGUAAAAUUCUUUCACCGGUGACGAUAAUGACGGUACCCGGAGAAGAAGCCCCGGCUAACUUCGUGCCAGCCGCCGCAGUAAUAC